rnacentral:rRNA from 1 species
ACUACGGGAUGCUGCAGUGGGGAAUAUUGGACAAUGGGCGCAAGCCUGACCCAGCAACGCCGCGUGAAGGAAGAAGGCUUUCGGGUUGUAAACUUCUUUUCUCAGGGACGAAGAAAGUGACGGUACCUGAGGAAUAAGCCACGGCUAACUACGUGCCAGCAGCCGCGGUAAUACGUAGGUGGCAAGCGUUAUCCGGAUUUAUUGGGUGUAAAGGGCGUGUAGGCGGGAGCGCAAGUCAGAUGUGAAAACUCAGGGCUCAACCCUGAGCCUGCAUUUGAAACUGUGUUUCUUGAGUGCUGGAGAGGCAAUCGGAAUUCCGUGUGUAGCGGUGAAAUGCGUAGAUAUACGGAGGAACACCAGUGGCGAAGGCGGAUUGCUGGACAGUAACUGACGCUGAGGCGCGAAAGCGUGGGGAGCAAACAGGAUUAGAUACCCCUGUAGUC